rnacentral:misc_RNA from 1 species
UCACCAACAAAAAUAUGGGUCAAGUAUUCAUUCCCACUAGUAAAGAUGCAUGUCCCAUUAAUAAAGAAAAGCUUCAUGAUCUAAAAUUACACUCAUGUGAUUUACAGGCCCAAAACGUCAGAUACAGACUUGUUGAUGAUCUGAAAUAGCUCUUCCCGCUCAGGUUUGAAUAGGAGAUAUCGAUAUACAAACCACGAAGAGUAUAGAAUGCCAAUAAGUUCUAGCACAGUUGGGAUAAGCGUCAACUUGUCAAUAGCGGAUAGGAGAUUUGCUGAUGCCCAUAGAGCUACUAUAGCUGCAA